GAUGAACGCUGGCGGCGUGCCUAAUACAUGCAAGUCGAGCGAACAGACGAGGAGCUUGCUCCUCUGACGUUAGCGGCGGACGGGUGAGUAACACGUGGAUAACCUACCUAUAAGACUGGGAUAACUUCGGGAAACCGGAGCUAAUACCGGAUAAUAUAUUGAACCGCAUGGUUCAAUAGUGAAAGACGGUUUUGCUGUCACUUAUAGAUGGAUCCGCGCCGCAUUAGCUAGUUGGUAAGGUAACGGCUUACCAAGGCAACGAUGCGUAGCCGACCUGAGAGGGUGAUCGGACACACUGGAACUGAGACACGGUCCAGACUCCUACGGGAGGCAGCAGUAGGGAAUCUUCCGCAAUGGGCGAGAGCGUGACGGAGCAACGCCGCGUGAGUGAUGAAGGUCUUCGGAUCGUAAAACGCUGUUAGUAGGGAAGAACAAAUGUGUAAGUAACUAUGCACGUCUUGACGGUACCUAAACAGAAAGCCACGGCUAACUACGUG
rnacentral:rRNA from 1 species